AAAGUGUUUUACACAAGCUUUAUUUUUUGUUCAGGCAGGUUAAACAUGCGGGCACUUGCUUGAGCGUAGUUUAUAGUCUUAUAGAAUAUAGCCAGUCAAAAAUAGAGGUAAAAUAUGUGCCAGCAUCUGCGGUUAUACCUAUUCUGUGACUCAAAUAGAGUAGGUGAGCUACUUUAAGUGAUUAACUAGGGUAUUUUAGUGAAAUAGGAAUAAAGGGGCACGAACUAAGGUAAGGUUUGGUUUAUUUGGACUAGGAUUAGAUACCCUACUACUGCGUUAUUCAGCCUAAUUAUUAUAGUUAAAGUUAUACGGUAUGGCGGCUAGCUUAUCUUAGAGGAGUUUGUUUUUAAUCGAUGAGCCUCGUUAGCUCUCACCAUGCUAUUUUAUGUACACCGUCAUUUAGCUAGUCCUUUAAGGGUAAAAUUAGGUAAUUUAGUCAAAUAAGCUAGAUCAAGGUGCAGAGUAAGCCGGUAAGAAUUAACUACAAUAUAGAAUAAUAUAUGGUACUCCUAGUGGCUCAGGCUAAUAAGUGAAUUUAAUAGUAAUAGUUUAUAUUUGAUCAAGUCACACUAGUGUACAAAUUGCCCGUCAGUCUCUAAGAGACAAGUCGAAACAAAGUAGGCACACCGGAAGGUGUUUCUAA
rnacentral:ncRNA from 1 species